CCCUAGUAACUGCGAGUGAAGCGGGAAAAGCUCAAAUUUAAAAUCUGGUAGUCUUUGGCUGCCCGAAUUGUAGUCUAGAGAAGCGUCUUCCGCGCCAGCCUGUGUACAAGUCUCUUGGAACAGAGCGUCAUAGAGGGUGAGAAUCCCGUCCAUGACACAGACUACUGGUGCUUUGUGAUGCGCUCUCAACGAGUCGAGUUGUUUGGGAAUGCAGCUCAAAAUGGGUGGUAAAUUCCAUCUAAAGCUAAAUAUUGGCGAGAGACCGAUAGCGAACAAAGUACCGUGAGGGAAAGAUGAAAAGCACUUUGGAAAGAGAGUUAAACAGUACGUGAAAUUGCUGAAAGGGAACCGCUUGAAGUCAGUCGCAUCGUCUAGAACUCAACCUGGCUUUUGCUUGGUGCACUUUCUAGUUGAUGGGCCAACAUCAGUUUUGAUCGCUGGAGAAAAGCCUUUGGAAUGUGGCACCCUCGGGUGUGUUAUAGCCUUUGGUUGUAUACAGUGGUUGGGACUGAGGACCGCAGCACGCCUUUUGGCCGGGGUUCGCCCACGUACGUGCUUAGGAUGUUGGCGUAAUGGCUUUAAGCGACCCGUCUUGAAACACGGACCAAGGAGUCUAACAUACCUGCGAGUGUUUGGGUGGUAAACCCGAGCGCGUAAUGAAAGUGAAAGUUGGGAUCCCUGUCGUGGGGAGCACCGACGCCCAUACCAGACCUUCUGUGACGGCUAUGCGGUUGAGCAUGUAUGUUGGGACCCGAAAGAUGGUGAACUAUGCCUGAAUAGGGUGAAGCCAGAGGAAACUCUGGUGGAAGCUCGUAGCGAUUCUGACGUGCAAAUCGAUCGUCAAAUUUGGGUAUAGGGGCGAAAGACUAAUCGACCAUCUAGUAG
rnacentral:rRNA from 1 species